GACCCGUCCGCCGUGAGUACGAUUGAGAGGGGAAACCUCUGCUACAAGCCAGCUGAGCGCAAUCAGGCAGCAGACACCGGAGGAACACAGCCGGGGGAGCGCACUUUGUAUCUCAGCAGAGGGGCACACAAGGCGCCGACUAACUGAAACACAGUAUCUAAGCGCUCUCCCCGAACUGAAUAUUAGCCGAGGAAAAAAAGAAAACACACUGAAAAACAGCGGCCAUUCCGAAGCUGAACAAAAGAAUGUCAGUAAAGCAUCGCGCCUGUGAGGUAAAGCGAAAAAGAAGGUCACGUGAUUCUCGCGGACGCUUCGGACUGACGAACGCUGUACUCUCUGCCUGGUGCUAAAGCGGGCACUCGGGAA